rnacentral:piRNA from 1 species
UAACGUUUUGGUGUUGCAACGAAAAUGGU